rnacentral:rRNA from 1 species
GUGUGCUAUACAUGCAAGUCGAACGCGUUGGCCCAAUUGAUUGAUGGUGCUUGCACCUGAUUGAUUUUGGUCGCCAACGAGUGGCGGACGGGUGAGUAACACGUAGGUAACCUGCCCAGAAGCGGGGGACAACAUUUGGAAACAGAUGCUAAUACCGCAUAACAGCGUUGUUCGCAUGAACAACGCUUAAAAGAUGGCUUCUCGCUAUCACUUCUGGAUGGACCUGCGGUGCAUUAGCUUGUUGGUGGGGUAACGGCCUACCAAGGCGAUGAUGCAUAGCCGAGUUGAGAGACUGAUCGGCCACAAUGGGACUGAGACACGGCCCAUACUCCUACGGGAGGCAGCAGUAGGGAAUCUUCCACAAUGGGCGCAAGCCUGAUGGAGCAACACCGCGUGAGUGAAGAAGGGUUUCGGCUCGUAAAGCUCUGUUGUUAAAGAAGAACACGUAUGAGAGUAACUGUUCAUACGUUGACGGUAUUUAACCAGAAAGUCACGGCUAACUACGUGCCAGCAGCCGCGGUAAUACGUAGGUGGCAAGCGUUAUCCGGAUUUAUUGGGCGUAAAGAGAGUGCAGGCGGUUUUCUAAGUCUGAUGUGAAAGCCUUCGGCUUAACCGGAGAAGUGCAUCGGAAACUGGAUAACUUGAGUGCAGAAGAGGGUAGUGGAACUCCAUGUGUAGCGGUGGAAUGCGUAGAUAUAUGGAAGAACACCAGUGGCGAAGGCGGCUACCUGGUCUGCAACUGACGCUGAGACUCGAAAGCAUGGGUAGCGAACAGGAUUAGAUACCCUGGUAGUCCAUGCCGUAAACGAUGAGUGCUAGGUGUUGGAGGGUUUCCGCCCUUCAGUGCCGGAGCUAACGCAUUAAGCACUCCGCCUGGGGAGUACGACCGCAAGGUUGAAACUCAAAGGAAUUGACGGGGGCCCGCACAAGCGGUGGAGCAUGUGGUUUAAUUCGAAGCUACGCGAAGAACCUUACCAGGUCUUGACAUCUUGCGCCAACCCUAGAGAUAGGGCGUUUCCUUCGGGAACGCAAUGACAGGUGGUGCAUGGUCGUCGUCAGCUCGUGUCGUGAGAUGUUGGGUUAAGUCCCGCAACGAGCGCAACCCUUGUUACUAGUUGCCAGCAUUAAGUUGGGCACUCUAGUGAGACUGCCGGUGACAAACCGGAGGAAGGUGGGGACGACGUCAGAUCAUCAUGCCCCUUAUGACCUGGGCUACACACGUGCUACAAUGGACGGUACAACGAGUCGCGAACUCGCGAGGGCAAGCAAAUCUCUUAAAACCGUUCUCAGUUCGGACUGCAGGCUGCAACUCGCCUGCACGAAGUCGGAAUCGCUAGUAAUCGCGGAUCAGCAUGCCGCGGUGAAUACGUUCCCGGGCCUUGUACACACCGCCCGUCACACCAUGAGAGUUUGUAACACCCAAAGUCGGUGGGGUAACCUUUUAGGAGCCAGCCGCCUAAG